GGCUAACGCUGGCGGCGUGUCUUAGCCAUGCAAGUCGAGCGGACUUAUGGGGUAACUUAUAAGUCAGCGGCGGACGGCGGAGUAACACGUAGCUAACCUACCCUCUGGACGGGGAUAACCUACCGAAAGGUGGGCUAAUACCCGAUGUAGUCAUCCUGUAUAGGGGUGAUGAAAGGUGGGCUUCUGUUUACAAGCUCAUGCUGGAGGAGGGGGCUGCGGCCUAUCAGGUAGUUGGUGAGGUAACGGCUCACCAAGCCGAAGACGGGUAACCGGUCUGAGAGGAUGUCCGGUCACACUGGGACUGAGACACGGCCCAGACUCCUACGGGAGGCAGCAGCAGGGAAUCUUGGGCAAUGGGCGAAAGCCUGACCCAGCGACGCCGCGUGGAGGAAGAAGUCCUUCGGGGCGUAAACUCCUGGACUGGGGACGGAGGAAGGACGGUACCCCAGUAGAAAGGGACGGCGUAACUACGUAG
rnacentral:rRNA from 1 species